GACCCUUGANACUAUAGAAAUCUNCCNGUUGCUUARGCUGCGAGGGACUUCCUUCGUAGCGCAAAGCGCGUCGCCGGUUAUCCGGCGCGCCGUCCGCAGGCCUUUGGCCGUGAGGACAAAACAGGUUUCUAGGUAUUGUGAUAAGGUAUCUGCACCUGAAUACAUAGGGUGUAAGAAGCGAACGCAGGGAACUGAAACAUCUAAGUACCUGCAGGAAAGGACAUCAACCGAGACUCCGCAAGUAGUGGCGAGCGAACGCGGACCAGGCCAGUGGCAAUUGUGAUUAAAGUGGAACGCUCUGGAAAGUGCGGCCGUAGUGGGUGACAGCCCCGUACGCGUAGAUAUCAUGAUUGUCCUAGAGUAGGGCGGGACACGAGAAAUCCUGUCUGAACAUGGGGAGACCACUCUCCAAGCCUAAGUACUCGUGCAUGACCGAUAGCGAACAAGUACCGUGAGGGAAAGGUGAAAAGCACCCCGACAAGGGGAGUGAAAUAGAACCUGAAACCGGAUGCCUACAAACAGUCGGAGCCCGCAAGGGUGACGGCGUACCUUUUGUAUAAUGGGUCAACGACUUAGUGUAACAAGCAAGCUUAAGCCGGUAGGUGUAGGCGAAGCGAAAGCGAGUCUGAAUAGGGCGAUUUAGUUUGUUGCAUUAGACCCGAAACCGAGUGAUCUAGCCAUGAGCAGGUUGAAGGUUGGGUAACACCAACUGGAGGACCGAACCCGCAUCUGUUGCAAUAGAUUGGGAUGACUUGUGGCUAGGGGUGAAAGGCCAAUCAAACUCGGAAAUAGCUGGUUCUCCGCGAAAUCUAUUUAGGUAGAGCGUCGAGCGAAUACCCCCGGGGGUAGAGCACUGGAUGGCCUAUGGGGACUCACCGUCUUACUGAUCCUAACCAAACUCCGAAUACCGGGGAGUACUACUCGGCAGACACACGGCGGGUGCUAACGUCCGUCGUGAAAAGGGCAACAACCCUAACCUCCAGCUAAGGUCCCCAAGUCAUGGCUAAGUGGGAAAGGAUGUGAGGAUCCCAAAACAACCAGGAUGUUGGCUUAGAAGCAGCCAUCAUUUAAAGAAAGCGUAACAGCUCACUGGUCUAAAUAAGGGUCUUUGCGCCGAAAAUGUAACGGGGCUGAAGCCAUGCACCGAAGCUGAGGAUUUGCGAGCAAUCGCAAGUGGUAGCGGAGCGUUCCGUAAGCUGAUGAAGGGAGACCCGUGAGGGCUCCUGGAGGUAUCGGAAGUGCGAAUGUUGACAUGAGUAACGAUAAAGAGGGUGAGAGACCCUCUCGCCGAAAGACCAAGGGUUCCUGCUUAAAGUUAAUCUGAGCAGGGUUAGCCGGCCCCUAAGGCGAGGCAGAAAUGCGUAGUCGAUGGGAACCACGUUAAUAUUCGUGGGCCUGGUGGUAGUGACGGAUUGCACAAGUUGUUCAUUCUAAUUGGAUUGGAUGGGCAGCGGAGCGUUCCAGGAAAUAGCUCCACCGUAUAGACCGUACCCGAAACCGACACAGGUGGUCAGGUAGAGUAUACCAAGGCGCUUGAGAGAAUUAUGUUGAAGGAACUCGGCAAAUUGCACGCGUAACUUCGGAAGAAGCGUGACCCCAUGCUAGGCAACUAUUAUGGGGUGGCACAGACCAGGGGGUAGCGACUGUUUAUCAAAAACACAGGGCUCUGCGAAGUCGCAAGACGACGUAUAGGGUYUGACGCCUGCCCGGUGCUGGAAGGUUAAGAGGAGAGGUGCAAGCUUUGAAUCGAAGCCCCAGUAAACGGCGGCCGUAACUAUAACGGUCCUAAGGUAGCGAAAUUCCUUGUCGGGUAAGUUCCGACCUGCACGAAUGGCGUAACGACUUCCCCGCUGUCUCCAACAUAGACUCAGUGAAAUUGAAUUCCCCGUGAAGAUGCGGGGUUCCUGCGGUCAGACGGAAAGACCCCGUGCACCUUUACUAUAGCUUUACACUGGCAUUCGUGUCGGCAUGUGUAGGAUAGGUGGUAGGCUUUGAAGCGGGGACGCCAGUUUCCGUGGAGCCAUCCUUGAAAUACCACCCUUAUCGUCAUGGAUGUCUAACCGCGGCCCGUUAUCCGGGUCCGGGACAGUGUAUGGUGGGUAGUUUGACUGGGGCGGUCGCCUCCGAAAGAGUAACGGAGGCGCGCGAUGGUGGGCUCAGACCGGUCGGAAAUCGGUCGUCGAGUGCAAUGGCAUAAGCCCGCCUGACUGCGAGACUGACAAGUCGAGCAGAGACGAAAGUCGGUCAUAGUGAUCCGGUGGUCCCGCGUGGAAGGGCCAUCGCUCAACGGAUAAAAGGUACGCCGGGGAUAACAGGCUGAUGACCCCCAAGAGUCCAUAUCGACGGGGUUGUUUGGCACCUCGAUGUCGGCUCAUCGCA
rnacentral:rRNA from 1 species